GAUGAACGCUGGCGGCGUGCUUAACACAUGCAAGUCGAACGGAAAGGCUCCUGCUUGCCGGGGUACUCGAGUGGCGAACGGGUGAGUAACACGUGGGUAAUCUGCCCUGCACUUCGGGAUAAGCCUUGGAAACUGGGUCUAAUACCGGAUAGGACCACAUUUUGGAUGGUGUGGUGGAAAGUUUGUCGGUGUGGGAUGAGCUCGCGGCCUAUCAGCUGGUUGGUGGGGUAAUGGCCUACCAAGGCGUCGACGGGUAGCCGGCCUGAGAGGGUGUACGGCCACAUUGGGACUGAGAAACGGCCCAGACUGCUACGGGAGGCAGCAGUGGGGAAUAUUGCAAAAUGGGCGCAAGCCUGAUGCAGCGACGCCGCGUGGGGGAUGACGGCUGUCGGGGUGUAAACUCCUUUCGCUAGGGACGAAGCGCAAGUGACGGUACCUGGAGAAGAAGCACCGGCUAACUACGUG
rnacentral:rRNA from 1 species